ACACUGCUGAGGAGUCCCGUCAUAGGACGAAACGGUCGUCGUGUGU
rnacentral:hammerhead_ribozyme from 1 species